UUAAUUGAAACCAAAAAAGAGGUAUAUUACUGUUAAUAAUAUUAAUGAGUCAUACUCCAAUUAAA
rnacentral:tRNA from 1 species